rnacentral:misc_RNA from 1 species
GCAAACUUGGUCAUUUAGAGGAAGUAAAAGUCGUAACAAGGUCUCCGUUGGUGAACCAGCGGAGGGAUCAUUACAGAGUUGUAAAACUCCUAACCAUUGUGAACAAACCCAUAGUUGCUUCGGCGAGUAGUGCUUUGUAACUAUCCGCCGGCAGCAUACAAACUCUUGAUUAUAGUGAACUUCUGAGUUAUUUAUUUAAUAAGUUAAAACUUUCAACAACGGAUCUCUUGGUUCUGGCAUCGAUGAAGAACGCAGC